rnacentral:rRNA from 1 species
AAGCGCUUGCAGCCAGACUUGCUUAUAGUUGCUCAUCCGGGCGCUCGCCCGGUGCACUCUUCUGUAGGCAGGCCAGCAUCAGUUUGGGCGGUUGGAUAAAGGCCUCUGUCAUGUAUCUCCUCCGGGAGACCUUAUAGGGGAGGCGUAAUGCAACCAGCCUGGACUGAGGUCCGCGCAUCUGCUAGGAUGCUGGCGUAAUGGCUGUAAGCGG